rnacentral:misc_RNA from 1 species
CUGUACUUCCGGUAGUCGUAGUCGAGCCUCUGCCGCCUGCCCUGCGAAAGCGAGGCCGCGCGGCGGGGGUGGGAUUUCGUCUACCGCGUCUUCAACUCGCCGCAGAGGACACCACACCCGUGGUGGCCAACACGGUCGAGGCGAAGUAACCCUUGCCUAUGAGUACCUUUUCGUUCCCUCGGCGGGCUCGCGCUCGCCGCUGGGCCCAUCCAUACCCCUUUGCAGGUAGUCGUAUACCUCUGAUCGUGGGCACUUGAAUCUUUA